rnacentral:lncRNA from 1 species
GAGAGACAGACUCCAGUUAUAAACAGAGACAGAGAGACAGACUCCAGUUAUAAACAGAGACAGAGAGACAGACUCCAGUUAUAAACAGAGACAGAGAGACAGACUCCAGUUAUAAACAGAGACAGAGAGACAGACUCCAGUUAUAGACAGAGACAGAGAGACAGACUCCAGUUAUAAACAGAGACAGAGACAGAGAGACAGACUCCAGUUAUACACAGAGACAGAGACAGAGAGACAGACUCCAGUUAUAAACAGAGACAGAGAGACAGACUCCAGUUAUAAACAGAGACAGAGAGACAGACUCCAGUUAUAAACAGAGACAGAGAGACAGACUCCAGUUAUAGACAGAGACAGAGAGACAGACUCCAGUUAUAAACAGAGACAGAGACAGAGAGACAGACUCCAGUUAUACACAGAGACAGAGACAGAGAGACAGACUCCAGUUAUACACAGAGACAGAGACAGAGAGACAGACUCCAGUUAUAAACAGAGACAGAGAGACAGACUCCAGUUAUAAACAGAGACAGAGAGACAGACUCCAGUUAUAAACAGAGACAGAGAGACAGACUCCAGUUAUACACAGAGACACAGAGACAGAGAGACAGACUCCAGUUAUACACAGAGACACAGAGACAGAGAGACAGACUCCAGUUAUAAACAGUAGUAGUCAGUAGUCUAGGUGACAGUAGGGUGGUAGUCUAGGUGACAGUGUGGUGGUAGUCUAGGGGGCAGUGUGGUGGUAGUCUAGGGGACAGUGUGGUGGUAGUCUAGGUAACAGUGUGGUGGUAGUCUAGGGGACAGUGUGGUGGUAGUCUAGGGGACAGUGUGGUGGUAGUCUAGGGGACAGUGUGGUGGUAGUCUAGGGGACAGUGUGGUGGUAGUCUAGGUAACAGUGUGGUGGUAGUCUAGGUAACAGUGUGGUGGUAGUCUAGGUGACAGUGUGGUGGUAGUCUAGGUAACAGUAGGGUGGUAGUCUAGGGGGCAGUGUGGUGGUAGUCUAGGUAACAGUGUGGUGGUAGUCUAGGUGACAGUGUGGUGGUAGUCUAGGUGACAGUGUGGUGGUAGUCUAGGUGACAGUAGGGUGGUAGUCUAGGGGACAGUGUGGUGGUAGUCUAGGUGACAGUGUGGUGGUAGUCUAGGUGACAGUGUGGUGGUAGUCUAGGUGACAGUAGGGUGGUAGUCUAGGUGACAGUAGGGUGGUAGUCUAGGUAACAGUGUGGUGGUAGUCUAGGGGACAGUGUGGUGGUAGUCUAGGUGACAGUAGGGUGGUAGUCUAGGGGACAGUGUGGUGGUAGUCUAGGGGACAGUGUGGUGGUAGUCUAGGUGACAGUAGGGUGGUAGUCUAGGUGACAGUAGGGUGGUAGUCUAGGUGACAGUAGGGUGGUAGUCUAGGUGACAGUGUGGUGGUAGUCUAGGUGACAGUGUGGUGGUAGUCUAGGGGACAGUGUGGUGGUAGUCUAGGGGACAGUAGGGUGGUAGUCUAGGUGACGGCCAGGACAGAAGUUGAUCUUAGAUUUCCAAAAACAUGAAGACAUCCUAACCCAUUACACACACACACACACACAAACAACUACACACAUAUACACACAUAUACACACACAUGUGCACACACACACACAAGCAUACAGACACACAAACAUACACACACACACACACACACACAGCCAAGCACCGCCACUCCCCCUUUAGACAGGACAGAAUGUAAACCAUCUAAGAAUUUGAUUCGCUGUCUGUCUGUCUGUCUGUCUGUCUGUCUGUCUGUCUGUCUGUCUGUCUGUCUGUCUGUCUGUCUGUCUGUCUGUCUGUCUGUCUGUCUGUCUGUCUGUCUGUCUGUCUGUGUGUGUGUGUGUGUGUGUCAGAGAAGGAAGGGGACCCUCAUAUACAGUUGAAGUCGGAAGUUUACGUCCACUUAGGUUGGAGUAAUUUAAAACUCAUUUUUCAUCCACUCCACAAAUUUCUUGUUAACAAACUAUAGUUUUGGCAAGUCGGUUAGGACGUCUACUUUGUGCAUGACACAAGUAAUUUUUCCAACUAUUUUUUACAGACUGAUUAUUUCACUUAUAAUUCACUGUAUCACAAUUUCAGUGGGUCAGAAGUUUACAUACACUAAGUUGACUGUGCCUUUAAACAGCUUGGAAAAUUCCAGAAAAUUAUGUCAUGGCUUUAGAAGCUUCUGAUAGGCUAAUUGACAUUUGAGUCAAUUGGAGGUGUACCUGUGGAUGUGUUUCAAGGCCUACCUUCAAACUCAGUGCCUCUUUGCUUGACAUCAUGUGAAAAUCAAAAGAAAUCAGCCAAGACCUCAGAAAAAAUUAUAGACCUCCACAAGUCUGGUUCAUCAUUGGGAGCAAUUUCCAAAUGCCUGAAGGUACCAUGUUCUUCUGUACAAACAAUAGUACCUGAAAAUAGCUGUGCAGCAACGCUCCCCAUCCAACCUGACAGAGCUUCAGAGGAUCUGCAGAGAAGAAUGGGAGAAACUCCCCAAAUACAGGUGUGCCAAGCUUGUAGAGUCAUACCCAUGAAGACUCGAGGCUGUAGUCGCUGCCAAAGGUGCGUCAACAAAGUACUGAGUAAAGGGUCUGAAUACUUAUGUUAAUGUGAUAUUUCAGUUUUUAUUAUUUUUUUAUACAUUUUCAAACAUUUCUAAAAACCACCUUUUGCUUUGUCAUCAUGGAGUAUUGUGUUUAGAUUGAUGAGGGAAAAACACAACUUAAUCCACUUUAGAAUAAGGCUGUAACAUAGCAAAAUGUGUAAAAGGUCAAGGGGUCUGAAUACUUUCCGAGUGCACUGUACAUUUAUUCAAAAUUUUAGGAAAAGCAGCAGAGAGAGAGAGAGAGAGAGAGAGAGAGAGAGAGAGAGAGAGAGACAGAGAGACACAGAGAGAGAGAGAGAGAGAGAGAGA